ensembl:lncRNA
CUUGGUCUCCUCAUCCCCUCAGUGAUGCGAUCAUCAUGGAGGAAGAAUAGGUACCUGCUAUCGAGUGAAGAGGACAACCGCACCACAAAAGCGCAGCUGCUACCUGCGGGAAUCUAUUGCGUCUUUGGCCGCCUACUCUCAUUCCCUUUUCUUGCCUGAAUACAUUGUGUCACUGGCCAUGAGUCAAUUCUAAAGAGUAGAAGAGGAACGAGGCAAAACCAUCCAAAUGAAACAUUUUUUUGAGGUUGGCAAAUACAGGCUCUUUCUGCAAGGGAUGUUUUCAUUUGUUUUUAGGGAUUAUCAGAACUUCUUUUAAUGAGGCCUUGCCUGUCAACUCACAUUGGCGAAGCCAAAAAUGUUGUUUGCUCUCACUCAUGUGGAGUGAAAUUUAGGCUAUAGCUCAAAUGGUCCUUGAAGUCCUCCAAGUGUACAUAUUUGCAUAAAGACUAUGGAUUAGAAGCAAUUGAUAAUCAUUUUACAUUUAAAAAGACUAACAAACCCAAUUAAGUUUACACCACAUUAUGUAGAUCACCCUUUUUAUGAGACAAGCUGCCCUUGUCAGUGUGAGUGGUGCUAAAAGGACAGCUAAGCCAAAUCAGUCAGGUCAGCCUGGCCUCAGAGCCAUACAAAUCAAAUUGUAUUUGUCAUGCGCCGAAUGCAAUAGGUGUAGGUAGACCUUACUGUGAAAUGAUUACUUUACAAGCCCUUAACCAAAAUGCAGUUCAAGAAAUUGAGUUAAGAAAAUAUUUACUAAAGAAACUAAAAGGGGAAAAAAAGGAACACAAGGAACAUACAUAACAAUAACGAGGCUUUAUACAGGGGGUACCGGUACCGAGUCAACGUGCAGAGGUACAGGUUAGUCAAGGUAAAUUGUCAAGUGACCAUGAAUAGAUAAUAAAACAGUGAGUAGCAGCAGUGUAAAAUUAAAUGUAAAUAGUCCUGGUGGCCAUUUAAUUAAUUGUUCAGCAGUUCUAGACUUGGUGUACCGGUAUCGCUUGCCAUGCGGUAGCAGAGAGAGCAGUCUAUGGCUUGGGUGACUGGAGUCUGACAAUUUUUUGGGCCUUCCUCUGACACCGCCUAGUAUAUACACUACCGUUCAAAAGUUUGGGGUCACUUAGAAAUGUCCUUGUUUUUGAAAGAAAAGCAAUUUUUUUUGUCCAUUAAAAUAACAUCAAAUUGAUCAGAAAUACAGUGUAGACAUUGUUAAUGUUGUAAAUUACUAUUGUAGGUGGAAAAGUCUGAUUAUUUAUGGAAUAUCUACAUGGGUGUACAGAGGCCCAUUAUCAUCAACCAUCACUCCUGUGUUCCAAUGGCACGUUGUGUUAGCUAAUCCAAGUUUAUAAUUUUAAAAGGCUAAUUGAUCAUUAGAAAACCCUUUUGCAAUUAUGUUAGCACAGCUGAGAACUGUUGUUCUGAUUAAAGAAGCAAUAAAAAUGUCCUCCUUUAGACUAGGUUGAGUAUCUGGAGCAUCAGCAUUUGUGGGUUCGAAUACAGGCUCAAAAUGGCCAGGAACAAAGACCUUCUGAAACUCAUCAAUCUAUUCUUGUUCUGAGAAACGAAGGCUAUUCCAUGCGAGAAAUUGCCAAGAAACUUAAGAUCUCAUACAACGCUGUGUACUACUCUACCAAAAUAGAAAGAGAAGUGGGAGGCCCCGGUGCACAACUGAGCAAGAGGAUAAGUACAUUAGAGUUUCUACUUUGAGAAACAGAUGCCUCAAGUCCUCAAAGGGCAGCUUAAUUAAAUAGUACCCGCAAAACACCAGUCUCAACGUCAACAGUGAAGAGGCAACUCCGGGAUGCUGGCUUUCUAGGCAGAGUUCCUCUGUCCAGUGUCUGUGUUCUUUUGCCCAUCUUAAUCUUUUUAUUGGCCAGUCUGAGAAAUGGCUUUUGAGAAAUGGCUUUUUCUUUGCAACUCUGCCUGACACAGUUGUGUUCUCACCUUUGGUCUAUUUAUUUCCCCAUAAUCUCCAAAGUGUUCUCUUUCAAUUGCUACCAUAGUCAUGCAUAUGCUUUUUAUAGUUCUUCUGUUUGAAACAUUUACAUUUGGCCCUGUACAUAUAGGCACAUUUCCACGAAUGUAAGGGGUUAACCAAAUUCACCUAACCUGCUAUGUAAAUUCUCCUAACCUUUGUUGUUAGUUCUCCUAACUACCAAUGUAAAUUCUCCCCAUAAUUGUCCUUUGUUGUUACAACGCAACCUGGUCUCAGAUAAAUUAAAUCAUCCAAUUUGUAUUAUAUUGUAUGGCCGGGUAAGAAGUAUGAUACUACACAUCCUCUAACUCGUGUGAUAUUGUAUGACUGCUAUUCCAUUAACAAUGUAACCUAACGUAAUAUCACAAAAAAUGGAGGGAUCAAAUUUACAUACCAAAUCCUACAAAUUGCCCUGAGACCAGGUUGGCCAGGUAUAGGAGAAUAGACAUACUGUAUCUUUACUUUUAGUGAAGUAUUUAGUCAGCCACCAAUUGUGCAAGUUCUCCCACUUAAAAAGAUGAGAGAGGCCUGUAAUUUUCAUCAUAGGUACACUUCAACUAUGACAGACAAAACGAGAAAAAAAAAUCUAGAAAAUCACAUUGUAGGAUUUAUGAAGAAUUUAUUUGCAAAGUAUAGUGGAAAAUAAGUAUUUGGUCAAUAACAAAAGUUUCUCAAUACUUUGUUUAUAUACCCUUUGUUGGCAAUGACAGAGGUCAAAUGUUUUCUGUAAGUCUUCACAAGGUUUUCAAACACUGUUGCUGGUAUUUUGGCCCAUUCCUCCAUGCAGAUCUCCUCUAGAGCAGUGAUGUUUUGGGGCUGUUGCUGGGCAACACGGACUUUCAACUCCCUCCAAAGAUUUUCUAUGGGCUUGAGAUCUGGAGACUGGCUAGGCCACUCCAGGACCUUGAAAUGCUUCUUACGAAGCCACUCCUUUGUUGCCCGGGCGGUGUGUUUGGGAUCAUUGUCAUGCUGAAAGACCCAGCCACGUUUCAUCUUCCAUGCCCUUGCUGAUGGAGGUUUUCACUCAAAAUCUCACGAUACAUGGCCCCAUUCAUUCUUUCCUUUACACGGAUCAGUCGUCCUGGUCCCUUUGCAGAAAAACAGCCCCAAAGCAUGAUGUUUCCACCCCCAUGCUUCACAGUAGGUAUGGUGUUCUUUGGAUGCAACUCAGCAUUCUUUGUCCUCCAAACACGACGAGUUGAGUUACCAAAAAGUUAUAUUUUGGUUUCAUCUGACCAUAUGACAUUCUCCCAAUCUUCUGGAUCAUCCAAAUGCUCUCUAGCAAACUUCAGACGGGCCUGGACAUGUACUGGCUUAAGCAGGGGGACACGUCUGGCACUGCAGGAUUUGAGUCCCUGGCGGCGUAGUGGGUUACUGAUGGUAGGCUUUGUUACUUUGGUCCCAGCUCUCUGCAGGUCAUUCACUAGGUCCCCCCAUGUAGUUCUGGGAUUUUUCCUCUCUUUUGAUCAUUUUUACCCCACGGGGUGAGAUCUUGCGUGGAGACCCAGAUCGAGGGAGAUUAUCAGUUGUCUUGUAUGUUUUCCAUUUCCUAAUAAUUGCUCCCACAGUUGAUUUCUUCAAACCAAGCUGCUUACCUAUUGCAGAUCCAGUCUUCCCAGCCUGGUGCAGGUCUACAAUUUUGUUUCUGGUGUCCUUUGACAGCUCUUUGGUCUUGCCCAUAGUGGAGUUUGGAGUGUGACUGUUUGAGGUUGUGGACAGGUCUUUUUUAUACUGAUAACAAGUUCAAACAGGUGCCAUUAAUACAGGUAACAAGUGGAGGACAGGUCUGUGAGAACCAGAAAUCUUGCUUGUUUGUAGGUGACCAAAUACUUAUUUUCCACCAUAAUUUGCAAAUAAAUUCAUUAAAAAAUCCUACAAUGUGAUUUUCUGGAUUUUUUUCCCCUCAUUUUGUCUGUCAUAGUUGAAGUACCUAUGAUGAAAAUUACAGGCCUCAUCUUUUUAAGUGGGAGAACUUGCACAAUUGGUGGCUGACUAAAUACUUUUUUGCCCCACUGUAUGUGAACGCUUUCAGUGAAGAGGGACUGUUAAUUACCAUAGAGCGAGCAGUGUUGAGUGACUGACAAGAAAGACUUACUCAUACAUAUGAACCUACACCGAUGCCUCUACUAUACUGAAUUCACAUUUUGCUGUGUUGUAUCUUUUUCACUGUGACUAAUUCAUAUUACAGUGACUGAAAUAUUACUCCAGGUGCACAUGUUUUGUACUUCUGGUGAGCCAGGUAAAGACCACUGAUGUCUAAUGGUUAUUUAAAAGGGACAUAUUACACAUUCAUGAAAGCUUGUCAGAUGUUUUAAGACAUAAACUACGUCGUGGGAUGGAGUUUCACCUUGACGCCAGACUACUUUUGAAGUCUGAAAACAUCUGCCAAACUUUGAUUUUGAAGUGUAAUACCCCUCUAAGAUGUUUUUGAUUCAGAUAGUUCACUGCAUGUUAUUGUCAGCAAGGGAUUUCAGUGAACAUCAAAUGUAAUUAGCAUAGGCCUUCUUUAAAAAAAGUCUUGUCUGGUUUAAAUGCCACGCUUGCACAGUUCCUUUCUUUGGAAUAGUAUUUCAUGAACAGGUGUGUAACCAUUUAAAUGAAUGUCAAUGCUUUCCAAAGUUUUGCAGCA